GAUGGUUAAGUAUAGUAUGAGGUCAGAGAUGGUUAAGUGUAGUAUGAGGUCAGAGAUGGUUAAGUAUAGUAUGAGGUCAGAUGAUUAAGUAUAGUAUGAGGUCAGAGAUGGUUAAGUGUAGUAUGAGGUCAGCGAUGGUUAAGUAUAGUAUGAGGUCAGAGAUGGUUAAGUUCAGUAUGAGGUCAAAGAUGGUUAAGUAUAGUAUGAGGUCAGAGAUGGUUAAGUGUAGUAUGAGGUCAGAGAUGGUUAAGUACAGUAUGAGGUCAGAGAUGGUUAAGUUCAGUAUGAGGUCAGAGAUGAUUAAGUAUAGUAUGAGGUCAG
ensembl:lncRNA